UACCAGCACCCCGAGUGGUCGGGACGUUUAUUGGGCCUAAAGCAUCCGUAGCCGGUUCUACAAGUCUUCCGUUAAAUCCACCUGCUUAACAGAUGGGCUGCGGAAGAUACUAUGGAGCUAGGAGGCGGGAGAGGCAAGCGGUACUCGAUGGGUAGGGGUAAAAUCCGUUGAUCCAUUGAAGACCACCAGUGGCGAAGGCGGCUUGCCAGAACGCGCUCGACGGUGAGGGAUGAAAGCUGGGGGAGCAAACAGG
rnacentral:rRNA from 1 species